rnacentral:rRNA from 1 species
AUUGAACGCUGGCGGAAUGCUUUACACAUGCAAGUCGAACGGCAGCACGGACUUCGGUCUGGUGGCGAGUGGCGAACGGGUGAGUAAUACAUCGGAACGUGCCCAGUCGUGGGGGAUAGCGUAGCGAAAGCUACGCUAAUACCGCAUACGAUCUACGGAUGAAAGCGGGGGAUCGCAAGACCUCGCGCGAUUGGAGCGGCCGAUGGCAGAUUAGGUAGUUGGUAGGGUAAAGGCCUACCAAGCCGACGAUCUGUAGCUGGUCUGAGAGGAUGGUCAGCCACGCGGGGACUGAGACACGGCCCAGACUCCUACGGGAGGCAGCAGUGGGGAAUUUUGGACAAUGGACGCAAGUCUGAUCCAGCCAUUCCGCGUGCAGGAUGAAGGCCCUCGGGUUGUAAACUGCUUUUGUACAGAAGGAAAAGGCUCUGGUUAAUACCUGGGGCUCAUGACGGUACUGUAAGAAUAAGCACCGGCUAACUACGUGCCAGCCGCCGCCGUAA